GGAGUUUGGACCGUGUCUCAGUUCCAAUGUGGCCGAUCACCCUCUCAGGUCGGCUACGCAUCCUCGCCUUGGUGGGCUGUUAUCUCACCAACUAGCUAAUGCGCCGCAGGUCCAUCUUUUAGUGACCCCUUGCAGGGCCUUUCAAACAGUUGAGAUGCCUCAUCUGUUGUUAUCCGGUAUUAGCCAAAGUUUCCUCUGGGUAUCCCAAGCUAAAAGGCAGGUUACCUACGUGUUACUCACCCGUUCGCCACUAGGGUGCAAGCACCCUCGUUCGACUUGCAUGUAUUAGGCACGCCGCCAGCGUUCAUC
rnacentral:rRNA from 1 species